rnacentral:rRNA from 1 species
UGGGGAAUAUUGCACAAUGGGCGCAAGCCUGAUGCAGCGACGCCGCGUGAGGGAUGACGGCCUUCGGGUUGUAAACCUCUGUUAGCAGGGAAGAAGAGAGAUUGACGGUACCUGCAGAGAAAGCGCCGGCUAACUACGUGCCAGCAGCCGCGGUAAUACGUAGGGCGCGAGCGUUGUCCGGAAUUAUUGGGCGUAAAGAGCUUGUAGGCGGUUUGUCGCGUCUGCUGUGAAAGGCCGGAGCUUAACUCCGUGUAUUGCAGUGGGUACGGGCAGACUAGAGUGCAGUAGGGGAGACUGGAAUUCCUGGUGUAGCGGUGGAAUGCGCAGAUAUCAGGAGGAACACCGAUGGCGAAGGCAGGUCUCUGGGCUGUAACUGACGCUGAGAAGCGAAAGCAUGGGG